AACGAACGCUGGCGGCGUGCCUAACACAUGCAAGUCGAGCGGGAAAGUUCCCUUCGGGGAGCGAGUACAGCGGCGAACGGGUGAGUAACACGUAGGUAACCUACCCUGGAGACUGGGAUAACCUGCCGAAAGGCGGGCUAAUACCAGAUAAGACCACGAGGGCUGCGGCCCUUGAGGUAAAAGAUGGCCUAUGCUUGCAAGCUAUCACUCCGGGAUGGGCCUGCGCGCCAUUAGCUAGUUGGUGAGGUGACGGCUCACCAAGGCAGAGAUGGCUAGCUGGUCUGAGAGGAUGGCCAGCCACACUGGGACUGAGACACGGCCCAGACUCCUACGGGAGGCAGCAGUGGGGAAUAUUGCGCAAUGGGCGAAAGCCUGACGCAGCGACGCCGCGUGGGUGAUGAAGGCCU
rnacentral:rRNA from 1 species